rnacentral:rRNA from 1 species
AUUGAACGCUGGCGGCAUGCCUUACACAUGCAAGUCGAACGGCAGCACGGGUGCUUGCCCCUGGUGGCGAGUGGCGAACGGGUGAGUAAUACAUCUGAACAUGUCCUGUAGUGGGGGAUAGCCCGGCGAAAGCCGGAUUAAUACCGCAUACGAUCUACGUAUGAAAGCGGGGGACCUUCGGGCCUCGCGCUUUAGGGUUGGCCGAUGGCUGAUUAGCUAGUUGGUGGGGUAAAGGCCUACCAAGGCGACGAUCAGUAGCUGGUCUGAGAGGACGACCAGCCACACUGGGACUGAGACACGGCCCAGACUCCUACGGGAGGCAGCAGUGGGGAAUUUUGGACAAUGGGCGAAAGCCUGAUCCAGCAAUGCCGCGUGUGUGAAGAAGGCCUUCGGGUUGUAAAGCACUUUUGUCCGGAAAGAAAUCCUUGGCUCUAAUACAGUCGGGGGAUGACGGUACCGGAAGAAUAAGCACCGGCUAACUACGUG